UCUCUUCAAAUAAUGUGUGUUUUCUAAUCUAAAUUAUGUUAUUACAGUCUUCUGAAGAUAUGGAAUCUGAACGAUGUUACUGGAGUUGUGGGGGUCUUCAAUUGCCAGGGAGCUGGGUGGUGUAAGGUUGGAAAGACGAACCUCAUCCAUGACCUGGAACCAGGCACAAUUACCGGGGUUAUUCGGGCUAAAGAUGUUGAUUAUCUGCCCAAGGUUGCAGAUGAGAAAUGGUCUGGGAAUGUUGUCGUAUUUUCUCAUCUUGGUAGAGAGGUGUCUUAUCUUCCCAAGGAUGCAUCCAUGACAAUAACAUUAAAAACCCGGGAAUAUGAAGUCUUCACAGUGGUUCCUGUCAAGGAACUGUCCAACGGCGUAAAAUUUUCUCCCAUAGGCCUAAUCAAGAUGUUGAACUCUGGGGGAGCCAUAAAAGAAUAUGAUGAACCUAACACAAGCACAACAGUUGUCGUGAAAGCUCGUGGAUGUGGCACAUUUGGAGCCUACUCAUCAGCUCGACCCAAGAGG